GGUGCCUGUGCAGCAGUAUUCACUGUGAUAGGAAGUGAGAAGCAGUCUGAGUGUUCAUUGGUGAGGGAAUCAAGAGGCAAAAUAUCAUGGAUGCGCUCAUGGACAAAUAAGCAGCAGUUAGAAGCAACACCCUAGAUGGAUGUACAGCCAUCAAGAGGAUCUUAAAGUGUGGUCCUUAGUGGAAAAAAACAGAAGCAAUGUAUGGGAGACUGAGUAAUCAGAUAUAAGCUCACAUCACUAUCUCUUCCACCACUGUCAUCCAUCAUGACCGAUCUGGGAGAUGAAACAGCACAGAUCUAAAGGACGCGGUAAGAAUCGAGGUCACCAGAGAUCAGUAGAUACUUGCAUACUUGCAGGAUUAACACUGUCUGGAUUCCAAUGAUCAGCUGAGUAUGUUCAAGAUGAAGCUAUAGUACAUAUUUUAGAUUGGAGAUUGGCAACAAAUAGCUGUAGACUACCUUCUGAGGAAUAAGUGUUUUCACAUGUGUGGGUGUCAUUUCUAAUCCCAGCAUCACAGUCAGGUCCAGAUACCUGUUUCUGAUCUUUGGUCCUAUGCCUAAUCUCCUCCAAGAGUCCUUCCCUGGAUCUCCUAUCUAAGCAAGAUGCUCCAUACCCACCAAUGAGUACUGCACCAAGUUCAUUUCCACUAGCCUGUGUUACAAUUUGUGUUUCCGUAUGUUUUCCUUACUUGUUUUCUUUGUCUUCCCCAUUAGACUGAAAGCACCACCAUGGAGACCAUGUCUAGGACAUAGGAGGUCCUUAAUAAAUAUUUCUUGAGUGGAUAAAUGGUGAACCAUAGGGGUGGCAUAAGAGCAAAUAGAGGGUAGAUGAGCACUAAUCCAUUCACCACCCUGUUUAUGGGUGGUGGACCUUGGAUGGCCUUUUUCAUAGUCAAAACAUACUUUUUAGAUCUGGCUUCUUGGGAUGUAUUCAAGGAUGCUAGCCUUGUUUGAGAUUGUAAAUAUGUCUAGUGAAUAGGGCUUGAGUCUGCGUGUGUUUGCCUUGUUUUGCACAGAAUUCGGCACAGCCCCAAGCACAGAUGGGUGCUUCAUAAAUAUUAUUGAAGGAUGAUGACACAAAGGAUUAUUUAAUACCUCUACAUGGGGUGGAGACGGACCUCAGGCCACAAACAUAUUUUCAAUGUGUUUUACUUCUGAAAUCAUUUGAACCAAAAUGUUUCAGCAACACAGAUUCAUCUGCAACCACAAAUCAGACACAUUCAGAAUGACAAAGCCCCAAAAGAAUGCCAUUUUCAAGGCUGAAACUGUAUUAUUCUGGGCUAAAUGGAAUCCUUGUUUUAGUGACACUGUAAGAGUAGAAAUUAAAGACACUGAAAAUCUUCCCUUGGGGAACCACAAUUAUCUGCGAACAAUGAAAGUUUGUCUGAAUAGUUCAUCAGCCUCAAGGGUACAGGCCUCCCCUUAUUCUGAAAUCCCAGGAGUUUAGGCAAGUGUGUCAUUUAAUGGGUCUCAACUGUGUCCUCAGUUGUUAUUUUUCCAGGGCCUGGCAUUUAUGGGCACAUUCCUAUAAUUUUACUAAUUAAAAAAAAAAUAAGCUAUAUGGGAAACCACUGUCAAGGUCAAAAUUUUGAAGCUGCAUUGAUUUUACCUAGGAGGAAAGAAGCUUAUAAAGUGUCCAUCACGAGAAUCCACCUGGGACCUACACAACAGAUCAAAUACCCAGAACAAAUCGCCACGUCAGAGCCCCACAGAAUUCUGAAUCCCAACCAGCAAGCAUGAAUAAUCCUUUUAAAUGGUCACUUACAUAUCAGAACAGGUCCUUUGUGAAAUUUCUAAGCAAGGCCUCUGGUUUCUGACUGAAACAGAGAUUUAUUGAGAAGGGGGGUAAAGUGAAAUCAAGAACUACUGGGAAAUUUCCACAAGAAACAAGGACAAAUGGUUUUUGUUGUCAGAGUAAAACCAGCCUCCCCUAGCCAUGGUUUGGAAGGUUAUUUGCUAGCCCACAGGGGACAAUAUUCUCAAUAUUAUCAGGGACCCUUUUGAUCCAAUUAUAGUUAUUGGGCAGAUACAGUAGUACCCUAUUAUCAAAAACCUAGUUUCAAAUCCUGAGUCAAUUUCUAAUUCACUGUGCGACCUUGUACAAGUCACUUAAGCUCUCUGAUCAUUGGUUCAACAUCUUUAAUAUGAGGAGAGUAAUGCAUAUCUCAAUUACCUCACAAAAUCAUUGCAAAAAUCAAGUGAGAUGAUAUGUUACAAAUUAUUUCUAAAUUAUAAGAUUCUGUAUAAGUGGAAGGGUUAAAUAUACUCCCAUAUUAUUAAAUACCCUACAUACCACUCAGGAUCCUAUAUGACUCUGAGUUCUCAAUUUCUAGAAAUGGUCCCAUUUUUGCUUUGUUCCCUACAAUUCUAUGUAGUCUUUUUUUUUAAGGAAGGGUGUAGGCAAAGGUAAAUGGGAGAAAACAUGGAAUCAUAUACCACUCUUUGGUGCCGCUAGGCAAGAAUUUUAAACUGAGUUUAGUUCACCAUCAUGGACUUAAGGUCCAUAUCACCUCAGGGAGACAAGUAGAGUGUGAGGCAUCCAAAAGGUAGGUGAUUCUUCUCCCCUCUAGUGAAGAAUAUAAGGUCAAUUUACAAAAAAAUACUAGCAGCAAAUAAUUGGAAAAUUAAAUUCAUAAAACAUUUAUAAUAACGUC
rnacentral:antisense_RNA from 1 species